UUCCGGAAACAGGAAAAAAUGGUGAUACGAGCCGUUAUUAAAUUCGGAUCCAGGUAUAGCAUAGUGGGAUCCGAGAAGCUUGACCCUGAUCUCAUGGAAUAGCUUUGGUGCGCUGAUUUACACGUUACUCACCGGAAGCAACGGAAGAAGGAAACAAAAUCACAAUGGCGAGGAGACGAUUGUUGCUCUUAUUAAAGCCUUUCGACGUGUUACCAACAAACCAAUCAGAUAACAAUUUUUCAUUUCAGAAACCCUAAGGUAAUCUCACAUAGUUAAAGCAACUUGAUAUUUACCGUCUUUUCUUUCUCUGUUGUUGCUACAUUUGUUAAAAAGCUCGAGAAAUGUCUGCAGCGUUAUGCGUUAACUCAUUCUAAUUAGUAUGUGUAUUUUAAGUGUUUUAUAGUAUGUCAGAGCCAGACAAGAGGAGUUGCUCUGAUGGUAAGCAACCCGCUUCCAACCGAGAGGUUAUGAGUUCGAGUCUACCCAAGAGCAAGAUGAGAAGUUCUUGGAGGGAAGUAUGUCGGCGGUCUAUUUGGAAACAACAUCUCUACCCUAGGGUAGGGGUAAGGUCUGCGUACACACUACCCUCCCCAGACCCCACUAAGUGAGAUUAUACUGGGUUGUUGUUGUUGUUGUAUGGUAUGUCAGAGCCAGUUAUAUGCUUAUUUCGUCAUUCAAACUUAUGUACAUGCUGGUGGUGAUUCCGUAGAG
rnacentral:lncRNA from 1 species